GGGCAGUCUGGGACUAUUGAGGCGCCCAGGAUAACGGUUGGACCCUCGUGGCUGGAGAGGCCCUUUGUACUGGGAAGCAUCUUACUGGGGGUUGGGGGCAGGGCCACACCUCCCCUGAUGGGCGGUCGGUCGGCUCCAGGCACCCCAGACACACUCCUGGAAACUUCCUGGUUUCAGGGCCAGGCUCCCUUUGCAGGGCUCCCGGUGCACCCCGGGAUCAGCCUGGCCUGUCAUAUCAGACUGGGGGCAACUGAGGCGUUGGCCUCCCCCCGGGCACCCCUGCUCAUGGUUACUAGUGCUCUGGCACACAGGCUGGGCCAGCUCCGCCUGGUGCUCCCCUUGGUCCGCUGGGAAGGCUGAGCACCGGAGGGCGCCUGUGUGGCUGGUAAGGCGCUGGGUUCUCAUUAGUUCUGGGUUCCUGCAGAGGAAGGGCUUGCAACAUUCAGCUGCUUUCCUGACUAAUUAAUGAGCCGCCGGAGGCCUGGGGAAGCAGCUCCUGUUGGGCGCCUUCUCACCGCGCGCUCGGGUGCAGUGAACUCUGGGAGCCGUCGCAGCCCAGGGAGUCCCCAAGGAAGGCCAGCUGGGGCCAUCCCUUAGCACGGCCUCCCCAGGCCUCCACUUCCCGAUCUGUGAAAUGGGACAGUAAGAGCUCCCCCGAGGCCAAGUCCUGCCGCCCUCCUGCCCUGCUGUGGACCCCAGUGCAACUGUGAGCAUCCGAGGUGGUGAAGGGGACCUCACAGCACACAGAGUGCACGGCGCUGCAGCCCAAGGAGACCUCAUCAGUGUGUCGGCUCUCAUUUUCGUUAUUUUUCCUAUUAUUUUCUCUAUCUUCUGAAGUCCUUAUGUAAGGAAUUAUGGUUUCCGGGGAGACCCAUUGUGAUAAAUGCCAGAAAACAAAAGCUUUUUUCCAGGGCGCUGAGGCCUGUGGAUCCUCCCAGGCCCUGGUCAUGCUCCUGUGCCCACAGAGUGGCCCUGUGUUUGCACUCUUUCUCUGGGGAUGCACAGGGGCGGUGAGAGGGAAGCAGGCGGCUGCUCUUGGCCAGUGGAACUGCCCGGCGUUGGGGUGCAGGCGAGACCCAGCGAGGCUCGAGGACUGCAGACUAUGCAGCAGAUCCUGGCAGGCUUUGGCUGUCUGACCCACUCGGAUGGGCGAGGAGAGAAAUGGGGGGACCAGUGGGACGUUCUGGGGUGCACGCAUGUAGGGGAAGCUGUUAGUGCAUUCUGAGCACCCGGUGCACAUAGGUUGACAAGCUCCGAGGCACACACACACGAGUGUGCACAGGCAGCCUCUGAGGGCUACGCCCACGGGGAUGGGAAGAUGGGGCUGGGAUAGGGAGGGCUGGGCCCCACCCUCUCAGGGACAUAGCCUGAAAACAGGGCAGUGCAGGACUCUGAUGCCUCACACAGUCCUCAGAGCAGCCCCGGUGUGAUGAUCCCCAUAGGCUCAUGCUCCCGUCGGCUGCCAGCCAUCUCUGCAUCCUGCCUUUGAGCCUCUGCACAGCCCUCAUCUGUGGGUGUCCAGAGCCUUCUGCAGAGGCCAGACUGCCACUCAGUGGUCCCCGCAUUUCUGUUGUCUACCAGGAGCACUGUCUGUAUUUUUAAGAGGUGGACAGAUAGCAGUGCAGACAGACGGAUGGGCGUAAGGACGGGCGCCCUGCCAGGAUGCUCCGCUGUCUCUCAGCCCCGGAGGCAAGUGCAGCUGGAGCUGAAUUUGCCUCCUGAGCACAUUUUUUUUUUUUUUUUUGGUGCUCAGAGUAGCCCUUGGGACUGCCCCAUGUCCCCAGCACACCUUCGGCUGAGCAGGGUGCCUGUACCCCUGAGGGAAUUUGCAGAUCAGCUCUCCCUGUCCACACGGGGCACAUAGAGCCCCAGCCAGGGUGGUUCUAGUUCUAGAAAGGAGUGCUGCCUUGAGCCUGUGACCGGGUGGUGGUGGUGAGCCUGAAUUUGGCUUUGGAAUUAGGCCCCUGAGUGUGGCCCUGCUGUGCUCGUACCCCUGAGUUUGCAGCCUGCAUGCCCCAAUUGGGGCCCGCCAGUGGCAAAGCAGUUCCCUUCCCACCUACUCAGGGGAUGUGCAGCCAUGGAGCCUGGGAGGAGGCACCACCACCACCCGUGAUCAGCUCCAACCUCAAACUUCAGGGAGACAUGGUUCCCCAAAUGGUUGCCCCUUCCAGGUUCUCCUCUUCCCGGCGCGUCAGUGGGGGUGUGGUUGUGCCCCAAGGCUCCAACAGGUGUUAGGGGGAGUGGAGGCAGCUGACAGAGCAGGGGCUGGCGUUAUCCUGUGGAAGAGGUCGGGGAAGUGGCCAUGUGUGUUAGAUCCGCAAGUGCUGCCGGUAGCUAUGAGGAGCUCCCUGAUCAGAAGAGCCCAGGUCUCGUCUCUGGAUUGAAGCCACUGGGGCUCUGUGGAGGCCACCAAGAGACCCUGCAUCCGUUCCGUGGACAAGCCACAAUAAGGGAGAUGUCACACAUCUCCAGACGUGCUGCCACACGCAGUGCAGCGGGCAACCUGCCCAUCAGGCUGCAGGGGACGGGGUGCCUCUGGGGACUGGCUCCCAGCAGCCCUGGAGGUCCUCUUGCACUGUUUAAUUCGUGUCUACACAGGGCCACGCUCACAUCAGCGUGCUCUAAUCCUUUAAGAACUGAGAUUGUCUCCAACUACAGCUGAGUUACAAGCUGCAUAAAUUAAAACUUCUCAUACA
rnacentral:lncRNA from 1 species